GCCACUGCACUCCAGCCUGGCGACAGAGCAAGAUUGCGUCUCAAAAAAAAAAAAAAAUGCUGGAGUGCAAUGGCGCAAUCUCGGCUCACCGCAACCUCCGCCUCCCGGGUUCAAGCGAUUCUCCUGCCUCAGCCUCCUGAGUAGCUGGAAUUACAGGAAUGUGCCACCAUGCCCGGCUAAUUUUGUAUUUUUAGUAGAGACAGGGUUUCUCCAUAUUGGUCAGGCUGGUCUCGAACUCCCGACCUCAGGUGAUCCGCACGCCUAAGCCUCCCAAAGUGCUGGGAUUACGGGCAUGAGCCACUGCGCCCAGCCAUUUGUAUGUAAUUUUCUAUAUUUAUUGAAAUGCAUUUUAAGUAAUAUGAAAGCAUUUUUCUCCUUACAAUGGAAAAUCCAACUUGAUUUUACAUUUAUUUAUAUAACCUGACUUAAUUCUAUGUAAGUCAAGUGAAAAAGGAAAAACCGCUCUGUGGAAUCAACCUGAAGAUGUCUAAUUUUUCCUCUGAUACCACCAGACUUAAAGCAGUUCACGAUCCUCUCUACACCCAAAGACUAGAAUUCCAUUUCUAAACCCAGCCCAGCAGCUGGAAGUCAUGAAGCAGUCGACCUGCCUGGACAUCCAGCUGCUCUCUGCUGCGCCCUACUGCGCCAUUCUAUCCACCCAUCAAGACUCCCCUGCCUUCUACUGAUAACCCUCCUAAAAGCCAACUGGGAUUGAGUUACUCCUCUGCCAAGAACCCUCUGCUGCACCUUAUCCAAGGCCCUCCAUAAAAAAUAUGAUGCCAGCCCACCUCACCCAAAACCUCUUCCAGAAAGUCCCAGCUCCAUCCUGGCUCUCUCCUCCACAGAUGUCAGACCUGUAUGUGGUCUGAUGACUCUCUCAGCCUCCUUCAUUCUCUCCCCAUUUCCACCACAUUUUCCCCAAUAAAUCUUGUGUGUGUCUAA
rnacentral:lncRNA from 1 species